AUGAUCUCAGUGUGUCCAGGAAACACCAAAGCAGCAGAAGCAGCCUGCAGCGCCUUCUCCAAUCCCUGCAACCCUCACAGCGUCUGCAUGAUUUCUUCUUUGGGCACCACUGGAGGACCAGGAUGUGAAGAGGGUGACCUGGUGCAUUCUGGGACGGCUCUUCACAGAAGAGGUGUCUCAUCAGAUCAACUGAAGGGGUUAAUAACAAAAAGCCAAGACCUUGCUUUUCAGUAAGUAUAUCAUUCACAGUAAUAUUAAAUGCAUUCAGAGUCCAUAGUUUGUAAAUGUCAGGGAAGUCUUAAAAAACGCUGCAACCAAUUGAUGAAUUAAUCUUUUACUAAACGUGACUUUGCGUUUCAUAAAUGAUGUUAAUUAUUUUGUGUGUGACAUAGAUGAUGUGUAAAUGAAUAAAUGAUUCACAACACUUUCUGCAUCUCCUAAUCUAAGCUUUUUCACAUGGCUAUGAGCUAUAAUAAUAAUAAUAAUAAUAAUAAUAAUAAUAAUAAUAAUAAUACACACUGAUGGAAUGCCGUUUUGUUUGAGCUGUGUGGGUUGUUUUUUAAUUUAGUGAUGAUUUUGGGAUGUUAACCUAACACCUAAGGUCUCUGCUUGAAUGUUAAGUGGCUUUGAAUAAAAGCAUCAGCUAAAUGACUAAAUGUAAUGUAAUGUAAACCAGGACUAAAUACAAGUAAAUGGAGUUUAGCCACUGCUCAAAUGUCAAAAAUAGAGUUUAUCCACCGGUUUAUGUAAUGUUAAGAGUUUACCUCCAAAUAGAUUGUUAUAGGACCUUAACAAACUUAAAAUAUUACAAAACCAGAUUGAUUUAUCCACAUGCAAUAUGUGCUCUGAUCAAGGGACCAUUUAAUACCACUGAUAGUGUUUGGAUCUUUUUUAAUGAGUGAUAGUGAAAGGCUCGGCACACUUUACCCUGAUCAUGAAUUCAUAGUUUACCCACCUCUUAUUUUAACCUCCACAACCCUGUUUAUAACUUUGUAAGUCACGUUUCUUUUUAAUUUAAUCUCCUUCAUAGCUAUCUUAAAUAUUGUAUUGUGUAAGCAUACUUGGCUCUGGACGCUACAUAUCAUAAACAUAUCUGUGUGUUUGAUUCCAGCUGCUGUGAGGAAAAACACUGACCUGGUCAGCCACGGAUGCAGAGGUCACCAAGCACACAACGAGGAGACGUGUCCCACAUCCAUCCACACAAACAGAGUAAAAGAAAUGUUUCAACAAUAAACCAUCUUUUUAUUGAACCUCUUUUUAUUCACCAGUUAUUCAUUUUCUGAUGCUGUGCAGUGCAACAUUUCAAUGAAGUUGUGGUCUAAUAGAUCAAAUAUUUUAGUUUGCACUGACCUAGGCCUACAGCAUAAAGCAUUAAAUUAGGUUUUGACCAUAAAAUGAAUGUAGAUUAGCCUAGCCAACAUAGGCUACUUAACAAAAACUGAAUAGGCUAUAACCUAUAACUCCAUAAAUGCAAAUGUCAAUUUUAUAUUUCCAUUGAGUAGUGAUUACUUAUGUACAGUAAAUGUAUAUCUUAAUUAAGAUAAUUUUUUGUUAGGCUUAUUUACAAUAUUUGGUUAAAAAUACAAGGCAAUGCAGAUUUAAGCUUAGGUUUAUAUUGCU
ensembl:lncRNA